rnacentral:lncRNA from 1 species
GGUUUCACCAUGUUGGCCAGGCUGGUAUUGUUGAUUUUUACUUAUGUGUUAUGUGUCAAAAACACAUAACAAAAUUUACAUUAAAAUAUUUCUAGGCCAGGUGCAGUGUCAUAAAAAAAUGAGCCAGACAUGGUGGCGUACUCCUGUCAUCCCAGCAUCUGAGGAGGCUGAGGCAGGGGAAUUGGUUAAACCCGGGAGGUGGAGGUUGCAGAGAACCGAUAUUGUGCCACUGCACUCUAGCCUGGGAGACAGAGAGAGAAGUAUAUAUUUCUAAAUAUUCAGUUUGUUCAUAUUAAUUAUAUUGACAUUGUUAUGUAACAUAUCAUUAGAAUAUUUUUAUCUUGCAAAGCUAAAUCUCUAUACACAUUAAACAACUACCACUUCUUCCCAUGUCGUGGCACUUUUCAAACGCCACUCUGUUUUCUGUUUCUAAGGGUAUAAAUGCUUAUAAAAUCUCUGUUUGUGGCUGGCUCAUUUUAUUUUGCAUAAUGUCAUCAAUAUUUAUCUUAAUAGUUGUUGGAAUAUUUUCUGCUUUUUGAAAACUGGAUGAGAUUCCACUAUUUUUAUAUCUACAGAAUAAUUUGGUGACAGAAAUUUGCAUUGCUUUUACCUAUUGGCUUUCAGUAACAAUGCUGCAAUAAUUACGUGAAAGUUAAUAUAUGUGCUGCAUUCUGUUUUAUUAGCCUACUUUUUCACCUUUAUGCUCAUACCAAAUUGUUUUAAUUCUGUAUCUUUUUGAUGUGUUUGAAAUCAGAAAUGGUAAUGCCUCCAACAUUGUUCCUUUUUUUGAUGAUUGUCGGGUACUUUAUUGUCUUUUUAGAUUCCACAUACCUUUGGACUUGCUGUUUUUAUUUCUUCAAAAAUGCAAUGAGAAGUUUGAAAAAUAUUGCAUUAAAUCUGUAGAUUAAAUUGAGUGGUAUAGAAAUCUUCACAAUAUUAAUUAUUUCUUAUUUGAAUUGUUUGUUUUUGAGGUGGAAUUAAAUACACCUGUCUCAGCCUCCCAAAAUGCUGGGAUAACAAGCAUGGGCCACUGCACCCAGCCCAUUUAUUUCAACAGGUGCAUGCUCAAGAGUGUGUUGUAUCGUUUCUAUAUAGCUGUAAAUUUAUCAAUUAUUUAUAUUAUUGUUUUAUACUCUAAUUCCAUUUUUAUCAUAGAAGGUAAUCUAUGAAAUUUCUGUUUUAAAAAAUGUGUUAAGACUAUGUUUUUGACCUAACAGGUGGUUUAUAAAGAAGAAUGUUGAAUGAGCUAUUGAGAAGGCUGUGUAUCCUGAUAUUGUUGAGGAGUGUUCUCUAUACCUUCAUUAGAAAUAAUUGCUUUUGACUGCCUUUUAGUCCUCUGUUCCCUUACUAAUAUCAUCUUGUUUUAUUAUUAUUACAGAAAGAGGAGUAUUGAAAUAUCCUACUAUAUUUAUAUUGCUCUCUCUGUGUUCAUUCAGUUUUGUUAGUAUUUACUUUAUAUAUCUGAAAGCUUAAUUUGAGACACACACACAAAUACAUGCAUGUAUAAACAAAUUUGUCAUACAUUCACAGGGAAUGAAUCUAAAUAUUGUUAAAUGUCCUUUUUUGUCUGUUUGAAGUUUUGACUUAAAGUACAUUUUAUAAAAUAUGACAGUUUUUUACUUAAAAUGUAGCUUGUGUAAUAUUAUUUUGAGCUCUUCUGCUCUAAUUUGGUUAAUAUUUACAUUAAAUUUCCUCUUCCAUCUCGCCACUUUCAGUCUUUUUUUGUCAUUAGAUCUCAACUGACUCUUGUAGAAAGUCAAGUUGAAUCUUGAUUUCACAAAAUUUUUAAUAA